rnacentral:rRNA from 1 species
GGAGCAUAGCUGGGUAGCUACGUAUGGAAGGGAUAAGUGCUGAAAGCAUCUAAGCAUGAAGCCCCCCUCAAGAUGAGAUUUCCCUUGGAGUUAAUCCAGUAAGACCCCUUAGAGAUGAUGAGGUUGAUAGGUCUCGGGUGGAAGCACGGUGACGUGUGGAGCUGAGAGAUACUAAUCGGUCGAGGACUUAUCCUAAA